rnacentral:lncRNA from 1 species
AACACAUUUUCACUGACAAACAACUAGAGGAAAGGAAAGCAGUUACCGUCUCCUCUGUGGCUUAAUAUCAAUCGGCAUGUUGAUCGCGUAUGGUGAUCCAUGAACAUAAGCGCUUCGGAAUCUAGCCACCUUCCCCAGAGUCAGGCCACAUCAGUCUUGGUUCUUUUGGCAGUUCCUAAGACAUCAUGAUUUCCAGAUGCUUCACCAUCCUGGCAACACCCUUCUGGACUGAUUGCUCCUGUUGAUUUCCUCUUAACCUGUGGUAUCUGAAAUGAAUCCCACACCCCAGGUGUGAUAUGACUAUUGCAG